UACAGAGGGUGCAAGCGUUUGUUCGGAAUUACUGGGCGUAAAGCGUGCGUAGUCGGUAUUGAGAGUCGCGGGUGAAAGCCCAGGGCUUAACCCUGGAACUGCCUGCGAGACCUCAGUACUAGAGUGUGAGAGGGGAUAGUGGAAUACCCAGUGUAGCGGUGAAAUGCGUAGAGAUUGGGUGGAACACCGGUGGCGAAGGCGGCUAUCUGGCUCACAACUGACGAUCAGGCACGAAAGCGUGGGGAGCAAACAGGG
rnacentral:rRNA from 1 species